rnacentral:rRNA from 1 species
UAGUCUGGUGCCAGCAGCCGCGGUAAUUCCAGCUCCAAUAGCGUAUAUUAAAGUUGUUGCAGUUAAAACGCUCGUAGUCGGAUUUCGGGGCAGGUUUGCCGGUCUGCCGAUGGGUAUGCACUGGUAGAACUGUCCUUCCUUCCGGAGACGGCGCCUACUCUUAACUGAGCGGGUGUCGGAGACGGAUCGUUUACUUUGAAAAAAUCAGAGUGUUUCAAGCAGGCAGCUCGCUUUUGCAUGGAUUAGCAUGGGAUAAUGAAAUAGGACUUUGGUGCUAUUUUGUUGGUUUCGAACACCGAAGUAAUGAUUAACAGGGACAGUCAGGGGCACUCGUAUUCCGCCGAGAGAGGUGAAAUUCUUAGACCAGCGGAAGACGAACCACUGCGAAAGCAUUUGCCAGGGAUGUUUUCACUGAUCAAGAACGAAAGUUAGGGGAUCGAAGACGAUCAGAUACCGUCGUAGUCUUAACCAUAAACCAUGCCGACUAGGGAUUGGAGGAUGUUCCUAUGUGACUCCUUCAGCACCUUUCGGGAAACUAAAGUCUUUGGGUUCCGGGGGGAGUAUGGUCGCAAGGCUGAAACUUAAAGGAAUUGACGGAAGGGCACCACCAGGAGUGGAGCCUGCGGCUUAAUUUGACUCAACACGGGGAAACUUACCAGGUCCAGACAUUGUGAAGAUUGACAGAUUGAGAGCUCUUUCUUGAUUCGAUGGGUGGUGGUGCAUGGCCGUUCUU